GACGAACGCUGGCGGCGUGCUUAACACAUGCAAGUCGAACGGAAAGGCCCUGCUUUUGUGGGGUGCCCGAGUGGCGAACGGGUGAGUAACACGUGAGUAACCUGCCCUUGACUUUGGGAUGACUUCAGGAAACUGGGGCUAAUACCGGAUAGGUGCUCCUGCUGCAUGGUGGGGGUUGGAAAGUUUCGGCGGUUGGGGAUGGACUGGGGGCUUAUCAGCUUGUGGGUGGGGUAGUGGCUUACCCAGGGUUAGGCGGAUAGCCGGCCUGAGAGGGGAGACACCGACCAUGGGCCUGAGAGACGGCGCAGUCGCCAACGGGAGGCAGUAGGGGAGAGUAUUGCACAGUGGGGGGGAGCGUGUGGCAGAGGCGCCGGGUGCGUGAUGACGGCCUUGUGGGGGGGAACCGCUUUCGGCUGUGACGAAGCGUGAGUGACGGUAAUGGGUGAAGAAGCACCGGCUAACUACGUG
rnacentral:rRNA from 1 species